rnacentral:rRNA from 1 species
GACGAACGCUGGCGGCGCGCUUAACACAUGCAAGUCGAACGGAAAGGCCUGCUUUCCCUUGUGGAUUGCGGGUACUCGAGUGGCGAACGGGUGAGUAACACGUGAGUGAUCUGCCCCCAACUUGGGUAUAAGCCUGGGAAACUGGGUCUAAUUCCCGAUAGGACUGCAGGGUGGUGCCUGUGGUGGAAAACGAUUUUCUAGUGGUUGGGGAUGAGCUCGCGGCCUAUCAGCUUGUUGGUGGGGUAAUGGCCUACCAAGGCGGCGACGGGUAGCCGGCCUGAGAGGGUGGACGGCCACAUUGGGACUGGGAUACGGCCCAGACUCCUACGGGAGGCAGCAGUGGGGAAUAAUGCACAAUGGGCGGAAGCCUGAUGCAGCGACGCCGCGUGGAGGAUGACGGGCUUCGGGUUGUAAACUCCUUGCGACCGCGAGGAAGCCACCUGGUUGGAAGGGUGGUGACGGUAGUGGUAGAAGAAGCACCGGCUAACUACGUG